AUGAACGCUGGCGGCGUGCCUAAUACAUGCAAGUCGAGCGAACAGACGAGGAGCUUGCUCCUCUGAUGUUAGCGGCGGACGGGUGAGUAACACGUGGAUAACCUACCUAUAAGACUGGGAUGACUUCGGGAAACCGGAGCUAAUACCGGAUAACAUGUUGAACCGCAUGGUUCAACAGUGAAAGACGGUCUUGCUGUCACUUAUAGAUGGAUCCGCGCCGCAUUAGCUAGUUGGUAAGGUAACGGCUUACCAAGGCAACGAUGCGUAGCCGACCUGAGAGGGUGAUCGGCCACACUGGAACUGAGACACGGUCCAGACUCCUACGGGAGGCAGCAGUAGGGAAUCUUCCGCAAUGGGCGAAAGCCUGACGGAGCAACGCCGCGUGAGUGAAGAAGGUCUUCGGAUCGUAAAACUCUGUUAUUAGGGAAGAACAAAUGUGUAAGUAACUAUGCACGUCUUGACGGUACCUAAUCAGAAAGCCACGGCUAACUACGUG
rnacentral:rRNA from 1 species